GGUAGCCGGCCUGAGAGGGUAUUCGGCAACGCUGGAACUUAGACACGGUCCAGACUCCUACGGGGGGCAGCAGUGAGGAAUAUUGCGCAAUGGGCGAAAGCCUGACGCAGCGACGCCGCGUGGAGGAUGAAGGUUUUCGGAUCGUAAACUCCUGUUAAGUGGGAAGAAAGACUCAUUCAUAAUACGAAUGAGUGAUGACGGUACCAUUAGAGAAAGCACCGGCUAACUUCGUGCCAGCAGCCGCGGUAAUACGAGGGGUGCAAGCGUUAUUCGGAAUUAUUGGGCGUAAAGGGUGUGUAGGCGGCAAGUUAAGUCAACUGUUAAAUAUUCCGGCCCAACCGGAAAUCAGCAGUAGAUACUGGCUUGCUAGAGGAUGGAAGAGAGAAGUGGAAUUCUCGGAGUAGCGGUAAAAUGCGUGGAUCUCGAGAGGAACACCGAUGGCGAAGGCAGCUUCUUGGUCCAUUCCUGACGCUGAGACACGAAAGCGUGGGGAGCAAACAGGAUUAGAUACCCUGGUAGUCCACGCCGUAAACGAUGAUCACUAGACGUCAGAGCUGUUUUACAGUUUUGGUGUCGUAGCUAACGCGAUAAGUGAUCCGCCUGGGGACUACGGUCGCAAGAUUAAAACUCAAAGGAAUUGACGGGGGUCCGCACAAGCGGUGGAACAUGUGGUUUAAUUCGACAAUACGCGAGGAACCUUACCUAGGCUUGACAUGCUUCUGACACCCGUAGAAAUACGGUCUUCCGGGUUUCGGCUCGGACAGUUGCACAGGUGCUGCAUGGUUGUCGUCAGCUCGUGUCGUGAGAUGUUUGGUUAAGUCCUGUAACGAGCGCAACUCCUACUGCCAGUUGCUACUUUUUUUAAAGGCACUCUGGCGGAACUGCCUGGGAAACCAGGAGGAAGGUGGGAAUGACGUCAAAUCAUCAUGGUCCUUAUGCCUAGGGCUACACACGUGUUACAAUGGCCAGUACAACGGGUUGCGAACUCGCAAGAGUAAGCUAAUCCCUUAAAGCUGGUCUAAGUUCGGAUUGAGGUCUGCAACUCGACCUCAUGAAGUUGAAAUCGCUAGUAAUCGCGCAUCAGCAACGGCGCGGUGAAUACGUUCUCGGGCCUUGUACACACCGCCCGUCACACCACGAAAGUUUUUUGUACCCGAAGUCGCCUUAGCCAACCUGUAAAGGAGGCGGGUGCCUAAGGUAUGGGGGAUGAUUGGGGUGAAGUCGGAACAAGGUA
rnacentral:rRNA from 1 species